rnacentral:lncRNA from 1 species
GCAUUUUUAUCAGUUAAUUUUAGUUCAAAGAUCUACAUGUAUCACAAAUUGCAUUUCAUAUAAUAGUACAUAUAUCAUAUCACAAAUUGCAUUUCAUAUAAUAGUGCAUAUAUCAUAUCACAAAUUGUAUUUCAUAUAAUAGUACAUAUCAUAUCUGUUAAUAAAUGCUGUGGCCAUUUCCUGCCAAUAACAAUCUUGUUAUUUUUUAUGAGCAUCUAAGAUAAUAGGAUUUAAAAUCUAAAUUUUAAAUCAGUUAUCGGUAGUGCUCAUACCACUGUCCGUCGUUAUACUACUUCGUCAAGUAAUAGUAUUUGGUUUCUAGUUGGAUUAUCGAUCUUUGCAAGUGAUUGAUUUACCCAUAAUCCUCCUUUUGACGUCGACAUUUAGGAAAAACAGACGCAUUUUU